GACGAACGCUGGCGGCGUGCCUAAUACAUGCAAGUCGAACGCAGUGGGGACGGGUGAGUAACACGUGGGUAACCUCCCAUCAGAGGGGAUAACACUUGGAAACAGGUGCUAAAUCGCUAUUGAUGGAUGGACCCGGGGGGCAUUAGCUAGUUGGUGAGGUAAAGGCUCACCAAGGCCACGAGGCAUAGCCGGUCUGAGAGGGUGAUCGGCCACACUGGGACUGAGACACGGUCCAGACUCCUACGGGAGGCAGCAGUAGGGAAUAUUGGGCAAUGGGCGAAAGUCUGACCGAGCAACGCCGCGUGAGUGAAGAAGGUUUUCGGAUUGUAAAACUCUGUUGUUAGAGAAGCGGUAUCUAACCAGAAAGCCACGGCUAACUACGUGCCAGCCGCCGCGGUAAUUC
rnacentral:rRNA from 1 species